rnacentral:misc_RNA from 1 species
UGACUCUUUUUCACUUUUUCUUACGCUUUCUUACUGGCCAAACAAAGCAAAAUGAAAACAAAAACAUAAGAACAAGAAUUGAAAACUUGUAUAACUCAAGAACCUGGAUAAUAUCGACAUGAGGUAGAUUCUUCGCGCACUCCUCCAUCACGUCUUUCCCCAUUGGCGCCGCCCCUGAUCCAAUGAGCUUCAAUGACGACAAAUCAAAUUUCUUCACAGCGUUCUGCUUCGCCAAGGCAAUCAUCACUGGCGGCACCACGUACAAAUGCGUAACUCUAUACCUCUCGAUACUCCUUAACAUCUUAUCCAGCUCGAACUUCUCCAUCGAAACCAC